rnacentral:rRNA from 1 species
AGAGUUUGAUCCUGGCUCAGGAUGAACGCUGGCGGUAUGCCUAACACAUGCAAGUCGAACGGUGUCUUCGGACACAGUGGCGGACGGGUGAGUAACGCGUGAGAAUCUGCCUCUAGGUUGGGGACAACAGUUGGAAACGACUGCUAAUACCCUAUGUGCCGUAAGGUAAAAGAUUUAUUGCCUGGAGAGGAGCUCGCGUCUGAUUAGCUAGUUGGUGGGGUAAAAGCCUACCAAGGCAGCGAUCAGUAGCUGGUCUGAGAGGAUGAGCAGCCACACUGGGACUGAGACACGGCCCAGACUCCUACGGGAGGCAGCAGUGGGGAAUUUUCCGCAAUGGGCGAAAGCCUGACGGAGCAAUACCGCGUGAGGGAGGAAGGCCUUUGGGUUGUAAACCUCUUUUCUCAGGGAAGAAGAUCUGACGGUACCUGAGGAAUAAGCAUCGGCUAACUCCGUGCCAGCAGCCGCGGUAUACGGAGGAUGCAAGCGUUAUCCGGAAUCAUUGGGCGUAAAGCGUCCGCAGGUGGUUUUUCAAGUCUGCUGUUAAAGACUGGAGCUCAACUCCGGAAAGGCAGUGGAAACUGAGAAACUAGAGUUCGGUAGGGGUAGCGGGAAUUCCCAGUGUAGCGGUGAAAUGCGUAGAUAUUGGGAAGAACAUCGGUGGCGAAGGCGCGCUACUGGACCGAAACUGACACUCAGGGACGAAAGCUAGGGGAGCGAAAGGGAUUAGAUACCCCUGUAGUCCUAGCUGUAAACGAUGGAAACUAGGUGUGGCUUGUAUCGACCCGAGCCGUGCCGUAGCUAACGCGUUAAGUUUCCCGCCUGGGGAGUACGCACGCAAGUGUGAAACUCAAAGGAAUUGACGGGGGCCCGCACAAGCGGUGGAGUAUGUGGUUUAAUUCGAUGCAACGCGAAGAACCUUACCAGGGCUUGACAUGUCGCGAAUCUCCUUGAAAGGGGAGAGUGCCUUCGGGAGCGCGAACACUGGUGGUGCAUGGCUGUCGUCAGCUCGUGUCGUGAGAUGUUGGGUUAAGUCCCGCAACGAGCGCAACCCUCGUCUUUAGUUGCCAGCAUUAAGGUGGGCACUUUAGAGAGACUGCCGGUGACAAACCGGAGGAAGGUGGGGAUGACGUCAAGUCAGCAUGCCCCUUACGCCCUGGGCUACACACGUACUACAAUGGUUGGGACAAAGGGCAGCGACCCCGCGAGGGAAAGCGAAUCUCAUCAAACCCAGCCUCAGUUCAGAUUGCAGGCUGCAACUCGCCUGCAUGAAGGAGGAAUCGCUAGUAAUCGCAGGUCAGCAUACUGCGGUGAAUUCGUUCCCGGGCCUUGUACACACCGCCCGUCACACCAUGGAAGCUGGUCACGCCCGAAG